GGGCUGAUCCACAUAUUUGAUUAUGUUCUCUUUUAUUUCUUUUUUUUUCUACUGCAACAAGAUGGUACUAGAUCUCGAAUAAUUGGUAUCAGAGCCAGAAGGUACCAGAGUAUGUAAUUGGCAUUAAAAAUAGGUGGUACCAGAGUACACGAUUGUCGAGGUUCAAUAGUAGUGAUCAAGAUUAAAAAAGAUAGAGAAGUUCGGUGUGAUCAAGAUCGAGAUCAACCAUAAGGAUU
rnacentral:lncRNA from 1 species